rnacentral:rRNA from 1 species
GUGGGGAAUUUUGGGCAAUGGGCGCAAGCCUGACCCAGCCACGCCGCGUGAGUGAUGAAGGCCUUCGGGUUGUAAAGCUCUGUCGGGAGGAACGAAACCACCGGGGUCACGCCCGGGACUGACGGUACCUCCAAAGGAAGCACCGGCUAACUCUGUGCCAGCAGCCGCGGUAAUACAGAGGGUGCAAGCGUUGUUCGGAAUUACUGGGCGUAAAGCGCGUGUAGGCGGUCCGCAUAGUCGAAUGUGAAAGCCCUUGGCCUAACCAAGGAAGUGCAUUCGAUACUGGUGGACUUGAGUACCGGAUGGGAUGGCGGAAUUCCCGGUGUAGAGGUGAAAUUCGUAGAUAUCGGGAGGAACACCUGCGGCGAAGGCGGCCAUCUGGACGAGUACUGACGCUGAGACGCGAAAGCGUGGGGAGCAAACAGGAUUAGAAACCCUUGUAGUCC